rnacentral:rRNA from 1 species
GACGAACGCUGGCGGCGUGCUUAACACAUGCAAGUCGAACGAAGAGCGAUGGACGCUUGCUUCUAUCACUCUUAGUGGCGAACGGGUGAGUAACGCGUAAUCAACCUGCCCUUCAGAGGGGGACAACAGUUGGAAACGACUGCUAAUACCGCAUACGAUCUAAUCUCGGCAUCGAGGAUAGAUGAAAGGUGGCCUCUACAUGUAAGCUAUCACUGAAGGAGGGGAUUGCGUCUGAUUAGCUAGUUGGAGGGGUAACGGCCCACCAAGGCGAUGAUCAGUAGCCGGUCUGAGAGGAUGAACGGCCACAUUGGGACUGAGACACGGCCCAGACUCCUACGGGAGGCAGCAGUGGGGAAUCUUCCGCAAUGGACGAAAGUCUGACGGAGCAACGCCGCGUGAGUGAUGACGGCCUUCGGGUUGUAAAGCUCUGUUAAUCGGGACGAAAGGCCUUCUUGCGAACAGUUAGAAGGAUUGACGGUACCGGAAUAGAAAGCCACGGCUAACUACGUG